UGGGGAAUUUUGGACAAUGGGCGAAAGCCUGAUCCAGCAAUGCCGCGUGUGUGAAGAAGGCCUUCGGGUUGUAAAGCACUUUUGUCCGGAAAGAAAUCCUUGGCUCUAAUACAGUCGGGGGAUGACGGUACCGGAAGAAUAAGCACCGGCUAACUACGUGCCAGCAGCCGCGGUAAUACGUAGGGUGCAAGCGUUAAUCGGAAUUACUGGGCGUAAAGCGUGCGCAGGCGGUUUGCUAAGACCGAUGUGAAAUCCCCGGGCUCAACCUGGGAACUGCAUUGGUGACUGGCAGGCUAGAGUAUGGCAGAGGGGGGUAGAAUUCCACGUGUAGCAGUGAAAUGCGUAGAGAUGUGGAGGAAUACCGAUGGCGAAGGCAGCCCCCUGGGCCAAUACUGACGCUCAUGCACGAAAGCGUGGGGAGCAAACAGGAUUAGAUACCCUGGUAGUCCACGCCCUAAACGAUGUCAACUAGUUGUUGGGGGAUUCAUUUCCUUAGUAACGUAGCUAACGCGUGAAGUUGACCGCCUGGGGAGUACGGUCGCAAGAUUAAAACUUAAAUGAAUUGACGGGGUCAUAGCUGUUUCCU
rnacentral:rRNA from 1 species